AUUGAACGCUGGCGGCAGGCCUAACACAUGCAAGUCGAGCGAGCGGCGGACGGGUGAGUAAUGUAUGGAGAUCUGCCCGAUCGAGGGGUAUGACGGCUGUAAACGGUGGCUAAUGCCGCUAACUAUGCGAUGAACCCAUGUGGGAUUAGCGAGUCGGUGGGGUAAAGGCUCACCUAGGCGACGAUCUCUAGCUGGACUGAGAGGAUGAGCAGCCACACUGGGACUGAGACACGGCCCAGACUCCUACGGGAGGCAGGAGUGGGGAAUAUUGCACAAUGGGCGCAAGCCUGAUGCAGCCAUGCCGCGUGUAUGAAGAAGGCCUUAGGGUUGUAAAGUACUUUCAGCGGGGAGGCGUUACCCGCAGAAGAAGCACCGGCUAACUCCGUGCCAGCAGCCGCGGUAAUAC
rnacentral:rRNA from 1 species